rnacentral:ncRNA from 17 species
CGACAGAUAGGAGAUGACAUUCCUCCUCGCAAAAACCGCCGUUCUGGCUAAUGAUGUCUACGUUACC